rnacentral:rRNA from 1 species
CUGGAAUCGCUAGUAAUCGCGAAUCAGCAUGUCGCGGUGAAUACGUUCCCGGGUCUUGUACACACCGCCCGUCACACCAUGGGAGCCGGAAAUGCCCGAAGUCAGUGACCCAACCGCAAGGAGGGAGCUGCCGAAGGUGGAGCUGGUAACUGGGGUGAAGUCGUAACAAGGUAAC